UUGAAGAUGCAAUGUCAGCUAUUUAGGACAGAAACAUCCAAGGCCGUGUUAGAACUCAAUUACGACUACAUGUGCGUUAAAGCAGGAGCUGGCAGGCCUCUGAACUACAGCAACUAUAGGACUUGUGAUUCUGGUACGCUGGGCUAUAAUUUAUGAAACGGAGCCCCAGAUUCAGCCAAUCACUCAGCUCCUCAUAACAAGUCUGACUGGCUCUGGAAAGCUGAAAGGGCUGCACUAGAACAACAAAGAUGAGAUAUUCCACAUAACACUCAGCUUAUCUGGAAUCACUUUCCCUUGCAAGGCCAGAAAAAACUGAUAGCUUUACUGCCCAAGGGAAGCACGACAGAGGACGGGGAAAUGCGACUUCACCUGGAGCAAGAUCUGUUACGCGUUGGCAAGACCAACCUCGCCGGCCUUAAAGGACCCAGGUACCCCUGGGAAUCGGAGGGCAACCACAGCCGCAAAAACCCAAAGUGCUGCUGCUCAUGGUGACUGUGUGAGAACUGAAACUUCUGAGGGAAGCCAGGUUGUUAAAAUUGUGAUUCCCUCUGCUCAACAAUAACAAGGAUGAUCUAGUCUGAAAAGGAAAGCACACCCUUAACGUAACAUUGUCAUUGAAUCUUCAACAACCAGAAUUUUGUCACUGAAUCCUCAACACCCAGAAUUUCCUGGUUCUCAUUCCCCAAAUAAAAUUAUGUUAAAAUCUCUUCAAAUUCCAACAUUCAAAUCUCCAUUUUUUCAACAGACAAGACCAAAGGUACUCUAAACUAAGGCAUUUAAAUUAUUUCACAUGAUAGUUGCCCAGAAAUUUCCUAUAGGAAACUUUACCUUUGACAACUUUGAAGAUAACCAUCUCUCCACUCAAGACGAUGGCCAGCAAUCAACUAGCAAGUCCUUGAGUCAGAAGCUUUCAUGGCUUCUGGACAUUCUCUGUGUCAACAUAAAGCUCAGUUUCAGACAGACCCCUGGCACCCUGACCCUUACAAACACUAAAGGUUUUGUUUGAUUCAGCUUCAAGCUGUUCAUCUGUUAGCAAGCAAUGUUCAACCAAAAACACAUUCAUGACGAGAGCUUUCUAAAAGACCAGCAUGGCCUUCCCUCCAAUCAUCAUAAUAAUCAUGAUAGCCUGAGACAUGUUACUGCUACUUGGCAAUUGGGGGUGAGGGUAGAUAUUUAGUACCUGGAGUGGUCACAUAGCAGGGAAAACCUCACACUGGAAGGAAGGAAGUGAUGUCUCAGUACAAUCCAACGUAAGCCAAUUAGAUCUCAAUGCCCUAUUUAAAACAAUGCAAUGAAGGAGGAAACUUCAAAAUACAUGCUGAUACUCUAAUCUUCUCCUAAAGUUGUUAAUGCAGUGUGCUAAAGUCUGCUUAUAGCAGGCAUCAUUUCCAAUCCAACAGGGCUUGCGCUAGCAGGCUCUAGCUGGAGAGACUACCUCCAUCAUCACCAUCAAUUAACAGCUGUUGGCUGUCGCACCUGGCACCAAGAGGGUUCAUGGUACACAAAGGUCAUUUAGACAGCUAAAUUCUGUUCUUAAUUCAUUUCCUGGAUCUCCAUCUAAUAGACAAGAAUUUAGAUGAUCUCAAUUAAAGAAAAGUGCUCAGCAAUGCAAACCUUUUAUCUGAACCAAGAGCCAUCAAUCCAUCUCAACUAUCAGAGCAGGUCUGGUUGACUGAAAAGUGUCCCUAGAUCUGGGCCAAGAACAGUUUUUAGGCCCACAAGCUAAUCUGCCUUGCCCUGCAGUUUACGUGACCAAAGGAGUCGCUUAUGAGAAAACUCUUAAGAAACAUUCAGAUCCACCAAAUUGGUGUGUCAGACCUGCUGAGGUUGGCAAGAGGUUAACUGUGCUCCAGGUGAAAUGGAUAAAUAGCCCCAUUGUUUUCACCAGGUUGGACUCCUCCUAAAGAAACCCUAGAUCUUGGACCAGGUUGCUGGUGGGGGCAACUGCAGACAGUUCAAACGUCAACUCUUGGAGCCAGUGUCUGUGGUGUUAACAGAAAGAGAAGCAAUUACUUAGAAAUACAUCAGCUAGAAGGCCUGCUCACCUUGUCAAAGCAACAACAACAACAAAAUUUCUUUUAAAUAAAAAGGCAUGGUUAUAAGAGC